CAAUCAUGAAUCGACAUGUGUACAGUUUUAGCCAUGUUUUUCACCCUGUUUCUGUAACAUCUUUGCAAAGGAAGUACUUUCUGAUUUGGUCAGUUUGAAACGUUACUGGGAAAAGGUGAAUUCACUUGAUUGUAAAACGUUUCUCGAACUUUGGACGUCUUCAUAUGGAAUGCCACUGACUGCUGCUGCAGGGCUCAUUCAGAAAGAUAUGACAAUGUGUGGAGAGGUCAAGGAUCAAGGAAAUGAAAGCAUGGACACCAUGAUGGUGUAAAGAUAGACUUUACCAUGUAAAUUCUUGAUGCUCAGGAUCUUUUGUUUAUUUGUAUGUUUCAAAGCAAAUUUCAAACAACUUCUCUUUCUUACAAGGCAUAACAACUAUGCUAAGAGCAAAAGUUUUCAAGCAGUAAAUAUCAGUGCAAGAGCGAGCACAAAGAACUCUUGCUAAACCAUGUUAAUCGUUAAUGUUAAGCCAUUAUACCUCGAAUCGAAUGUGUUGAACACACUACUUCCCUUGA